GGACCUCAGAUCAGGCAAGAUUACCCGCUGAGUUUAAGCAUAUCACUAAGCGGAGGAAAAGAAACUAACUAGGAUUUCCCUA
rnacentral:rRNA from 1 species